rnacentral:rRNA from 1 species
AAAUUGAAGAGUUUGAUCAUGGCUCAGAUUGAACGCUGGCGGCAGGCCUAACACAUGCAAGUCGAACGGUAACAGGAAACAGCUUGCUGUUUCGCUGACGAGUGGCGGACGGGUGAGUAAUGUCUGGGAAACUGCCUGAUGGAGGGGGAUAACUACUGGAAACGGUAGCUAAUACCGCAUAAUGUCGCAAGACUAAAGAGGGGGACCUUCGGGCCUCUUGCCAUCGGAUGUGCCCAGAUGGGAUUAGC